GAUGAACGCUGGCGGCGUGCCUAAUACAUGCAAGUCGAGCGAACAGACGAGGAGCUUGCUCCUCUGACGUUAGCGGCGGACGGGUGAGUAACACGUGGAUAACCUACCUAUAAGACUGGGAUAACUUCGGGAAACCGGAGCUAAUACCGGAUAAUAUAUUGAACCGCAUGGUUCAAUAGUGAAAGACGGUUUUGCUGUCACUUAUAGAUGGAUCCGCGCCGCAUUAGCUAGUUGGUAAGGUAACGGCUUACCAAGGCAACGAUGCGUAACCGACCUGAGAGGCUGAUCGGCCACACUGGAACUGAGACACGGUCCAGACUCCUACGGGAGGCAGCAGUAGGGAAUCUUCCGCAAUGGGCGAAAGCUUGACGGAGCAACGCCGCGUGAGUGAUGAAGGUCUUCGGAUCGUAAAACUCUGUUAUUAGGGAAGAACAAAUGUGUAAGUAACUAUGCACGUCUUGACGGUACCUAAUCAGAAAGCCACGGCUAACUACGUG
rnacentral:rRNA from 1 species